UACCAGCACCCCGAGUGGUCGGGACGAUUAUUGGGCCUAAAGCAUCCGUAGCCGGUCCUACAAGUCUUCCGUUAAAUCCACCUGCUCAACAGAUGGGCUGCGGAAGAUACUAUAGGGCUAGGAGGCGGGAGAGGCAAGCGGUACUCAGUGGGUAGGGUAAAUCCUCUGAUCCAUUGAAGAACAUCAGUGGCGAAGGCGGCCUGCUGGGCUGUUGCUGACGCUGAGGCGCGACAGCGUGGGGAGCAAACAGG
rnacentral:rRNA from 1 species